CCCGCACAAGCAGCGAGCGUGUGGUUUAAUUCGAUGUUACACGAAGAACCUUACCAGGGUUUGACAUGCAAGUGGUAGGAAGCCGAAAGGUGACCGACCCUUCGGGGAGCUUGCACAGGUGCUGCAUGGCUGUCGUCAGCUCGUGUCGUGAGAUGUUCGGUUAAGUCCGCUAACGAGCGCAACCCUCGCUGUGUGUUAUAUGUGUCACACGGGACUGCCGGUCUUAAGCCGGAGGAAGGUGGGGAUGAUGUCAAGUCAGCAUGGCCCUUACGCCUUGGGCUACACACACGCUACAAUGGGUGAUACAACGGGUUGCGAAAGAGCGAUCUGGAGCUAAUCCCUAAAAUCAUCCUCAGUUCGGAUUGCAGGCUGAAACUGCCUGCAUGAAGUUGGAGUUGCUAGUAACCGCAGGUCAGCACACUGCGGUGAAUACGUUCUCGGGCCUU
rnacentral:rRNA from 1 species